rnacentral:rRNA from 1 species
AGAACGAACGCUGGCGGCAGGCCUAACACAUGCAAGUCGAGCGCUGUAGCAAUACAGAGCGGCGCACGGGAGAGUAAUACGUGGGAACCUACCCUUUGGUUCGGAAUAACGUCGGGAAACUGACGCUAAUACCGAAUAAGCCCUUCGGGGGAAAGAUUUAUUGCCGAAGGAUGGGCCCAUGUUGGAUUAGCUAGUUGGUGAGGUAACGGCUCACCAAGGCAACGAUCCAUAGCUGGUCUGAGAGGAUGAUCAGCCUCGCUGGGACUGAGACACGGCCCAGACUCCUACGGGAGGCAGCAGUGGGGAAUAUUGGACAAUGGGGGCAACCCUGAUCCAGCCAUGCCGCGUGAGUGAUGAAGGCCUUGGGUUGUAAAGCUCUUUCGCUAGGGACGAUAAUGACGGUACCUAGACAAGAACGCCCCGGCUAACUUCGUGCCAGCAGCCGC